rnacentral:rRNA from 1 species
CCCUUAGAUGUUCUGGGCCGCACGCGCGCUACACUGAUGCGUUCAACGAGUUUACAACCUUGAUCGAUAGGUCUGGGUAAUCUUUUGAAUGCGCAUCGUGCUAGGGAUAGAUUAUUGCAAUUAUUAAUCUUGAACGAGGAAUUCCUAGUAAACGCAAGUCAUCAGCUUGCAUUGAUUACGUCCCUGCCCUUUGUACACACCGCCCGUCGCACCUACUGAUUGGAUGACUCGGUGAAAAUGUUGGACUGUGGUUUAAGUUGUUUUAUUACGAUUUUUACUGUGGGAAAACAUUUUAACCUCGUUAUCUAGAAGAAGGUGAAGUCGUANCA